AUCUUUUUGAAGUUUAUAAGCCUGAUGACUGGUUUCCAAGCAUUUUUGUCAGUUGUGCCUCCCUUAAAUCUUGUUAUAAUGUUGGCACAUUACGGAUCUGAUG
ensembl:snoRNA